rnacentral:rRNA from 1 species
GAAGGUCAGGCUGAAGACCUUACCCGAUUAGCUGAGAGGUGGUGCAUGGCCGUCGUCAGUUCGUACUGUGAAGCAUCCUGUUAAGUCAGGCAACGAGCGAGACCCACGUCCACAGUUCCCCGCAGCAUACCCGUCCGGGGUGAUGGGUACACUGUGGAGACCGCCGCUGCUAAAGCGGAGGAAGGAGUGGGCAACGGUAGGUCAGUAUGCCCCGAAUCUCCCGGGCUACACGCGGGCUACAAUGGUUGGUACAAUGGGCAUCUACCCCGAAAGGGGAAGGAAAUCUCUUAAAGCCAAUCGUAGUUCGGAUUGAGGGCUGCAACUCGCCCUCAUGAAGCUGGAAUCCGUAGUAAUCGCGUUUCAACAGAACGCGGUGAAUACGUCCCUGCUCCUU